rnacentral:rRNA from 1 species
AUUGAACGCUGCGGGCGGCCUAACCCCUUCCAAUCCAACGAGCGGCGGACGGGUGAGUAAUGUCUGGUAAACUUCCUGCUGGAGGGGGGUAACUACUGGAGACGGUGGCUGAUACCACCUACCAUCAGCUGUGCCCAGAGGGGCUUAGCUGGUAGGUGGGGUAACGGCUCACCUAGGCGACGACCCCUAGCCGGUCUGAGAGGAUGACCAGCCACACUGGAACUGAGACACGGUCCAGACUCCUACGGGAGGCAGCAGUGGGGAAUAUUGCACAAUGGGCGCAAGCCUGAUGCAGCCAUGCCGCGUGUGUGAAGAAGGCCUUCGGGUUGUAAAGCACUUUCAGCGGGGAGGCGUUACCCGCAGAAGAAGCACCGGCUAACUCCGUGCCAGCAGCCGCGGUAAUAC